GUGGGGAAUCUUCCGCAAUGGACGAAAGUCUGACGGAGCAACGCCGCGUGAGUGAUGAAGGUCUUCGGAUUGUAAAGCUCUGUUAAUCGGGACGAAAGAGCCUAGUGUGAAUAAUGCUAGGAAGUGACGGUACCGGAAUAGAAAGCCACGGCUAACUACGUGCCAGCAGCCGCGGUAAUACGUAGGUGGCAAGCGUUGUCCGGAAUUAUUGGGCGUAAAGCGCGCGCAGGCGGAUCUGCCAGUCUGUCUUAAAAGUUCGGGGAUUAACCCCGUGAUGGGAUGGAAACUACAGAUCUAGAGUAUCGGAGAGGAAAGUGGAAUUCCUAGUGUAGCGGUGAAAUGCGUAGAUAUUAGGAAGAACACCAGUGGCGAAGGCGACUUUCUGGACGAAAACUGACGCUGAGGCGCGAAAGCUAGGGGAGCGAACGGGAUUAGAUACCCCUGUAGUCC
rnacentral:rRNA from 1 species